GCCGAGGUAGCUCAGUUGGUAGAGCACGUCUUUGGUAAAGACGAGGUCGACGGUUCAAUCCCGUUCCUCGGCU
rnacentral:tRNA from 1 species